GGGUAACGGGGUGUUAGGGCACGACACCGGAGAGGGAGCCUGAGAAACGGCUACCACAUCCAAGGAUGGCAGCAGGCGCGCAAAUUACCCAAUCCCGACACGGGGAGGUAGUGACAAUAAAUAACAAUACGGGGUCCUUUCGGGUUUCGUAAUUGGAAUGAGUACAAUUUAAAUCUCUUAACGAGGAACAAUUGGAGGGCAAGUCUGGUGCCAGCAGCCGCGGUAAUUCCAGCUCCAAUAGCGUAUAUUAAAGUUGUUGCAGUUAAAAAGCUCGUAGUUGAAUUUCGGGAUUAGUGCGCCGGUCGUGCCUUCGGUAUGUACUGGUGUUACUGAUUCCUACCUUCUGACGAACCGUCAUGUCAUUAAUUUGGUGUGGCGGGGAAUCAGGACUGUUACUUUGAAAAAAUUAGAGUGUUUAAAGCAGGCUCGCGCUUGAAUACAUUAGCACGGAAUAAUGAAAUAGGACGUUCGAUCCUAUUUUGUUGGUUUCUAGGAUUGACGUAAUGAUUAAUAGGGAUAGUUGGGGGCACUAGUAUUCAAUUGUCAGAGGUGAAAUUCUUGGAUUUAUUGAAGACUAACUACUGCGAAAGCAUUUGCCAAGGAUGUUUUCAUUAAUCAAGAACGAAAGUUAGGGGAUCGAAGACGAUCAGAUACC
rnacentral:rRNA from 1 species